rnacentral:rRNA from 1 species
AGUUUGAUCCUGGCUCAGAACGAACGCUGGCGGCAUGCCUAACACAUGCAAGUCGAACGAAGGCUUCGGCCUUAGUGGCGCACGGGUGCGUAACGCGUGGGAAUCUGCCCUUAGGUUCGGAAUAACAGUUAGAAAUGACUGCUAAUACCGGAUGAUGACGUAAGUCCAAAGAUUUAUCGCCUGAGGAUGAGCCCGCGUAGGAUUAGCUAGUUGGUGUGGUAAAGGCGCACCAAGGCGACGAUCCUUAGCUGGUCUGAGAGGAUGAUCAGCCACACUGGGACUGAGACACGGCCCAGACUCCUACGGGAGGCAGCAGUGGGGAAUAUUGGACAAUGGGCGCAAGCCUGAUCCAGCCAUGCCGCGUGAGUGAUGAAGGCCUUAGGGUUGUAAAGCUCUUUCACCGGUGAAGAUAAUGACGGUAACCGGAGAAGAAGCCCCGGCUAACUUCGUGCCAGCAGCCGCGGUAA